AUUUAUUACGUUCUCGGAUCCGGUUUACAAAAUGAUUCGGGUUUUCUAGGAUCCAUUUUUCGCAGAUGUUACAAUCAUCCCCUCUUGCCCCUUGUAUCCCGUCAUCAUCUCCAUGUUUUCCAACAAGAGUUAGGGUUUUGUCGAAUUUCAAGUAGGUGAAUGGCGCCGAUGGUAACUUGUUACUGAUCUCCAUUGAUUCUGCAGAAACUUGAAGCUGCCCUGUGACAGCCUUCAGUUCAGGUUUGUAGGGCCAAAAGGCCGAAACCGUAAGGCUGAACAAAAAUCAACAUGCGGUGGUGUUUUUAAGAAGAAGGAAGGUUGGGGUCCAAAACGAGCCUAAGUCGCGAAGGAAAGCUGGGGUCCAAAACGAGGCCGACCGGCUAGACCAAUUGGAGGGCCAACCGCUUAACGAAGACGGGAUAACCAGUUGUGUGACGAAGAUGCAUUAGUAUAGGUUAGGCGCAUUAGGAUUAGUCGUGUAUUACGGGAAAAAAAUAUUGUUAACGUUGUAUCUUUAUAAAAGUGUUUAUAAUAGUAAUUACACUUUAAAUGUGAUGUAUUUCAUUAUUUUUUC